AUGGACUAGGUUCAUUCUUUUGAUUAAAUACAUCUCAACCCUUAGAUCAAAUGUGUAAAAAUAAAUCCUAACCAUCCAUUCUCUUAUAAAUAGAGCCUAUAGCUAAAUUCACUUUCACUUGAGUUUUUACAAUCUUAGAACAAGUAAAAUUGUUUGCUCCUCCUUUCAUUUUAUUUCUUAGUUCUACUCAAAUACCAUAUAGCCUAGAUCUUUCUUGUAGUGUUCAAGCGUUUUUCUAAAACUAGCUACCUAGAGAAGAUUUGGUGGAGUUUUACUUCUAAAGGAUUAUUGGAUCUUGAUGCAGGGAUAGAAAGUGAGGACGAUGGUCCUUUUACUAGUUUUGAUGGUUGAUAGACCAUCUGCUGCAGGAUUUAUGCUUACUCUAUGGAGCAAGUCUCAUUUAUGUUAAUCGCUUUUAUUAUGUAUGGUGAUGUGUGUAAACUUAAUAGAUAUUACUAUGUUAAUUUAGGUGCCGUCUGUGGCAUAUAUUUGGUACACCUAGUGUGUACAUAUGUUGUAAUGAAAACCAUGUUUCUAUUUUAUUUAAUAAUAUAUCACCUCGAGGUAUUUCAGUCA